UACGAAGGGGGCUAGCGUUGCUCGGAAUUACUGGGCGUAAAGCGCACGUAGGCGGUCUUUUAAGUCGGGGGUGAAAUCCUGGAGCUCAACUCCAGAACUGCCUUCGAUACUGGAAGACUUGAGUCCGGGAGAAGUGAGUGGAACUGCGAGUGUAGAGGUGAAAUUCGUAGAUAUUCGCAAGAACACCAGUGGCGAAGGCGGCUCACUGGCCCGGUACUGACGCUGAGGUGCGAAAGCGUGGGGAGCAAACAGG
rnacentral:rRNA from 1 species